AUGCAAGCGUUGAUGAAGAAGAGUACACAUGAUGAACAUGUCAGAGAGCUGAUGGUUGGUGCGAAUCAGUAUGGAAUUGAUGUGGAAUGGGCUUCGGAGCUUCCAAACCGAAACGAAAGAAGUAGGCUUUGGCGACAUGAUCUCAUCGAUACAAGAGACACGUAUUGUUUUUGAUACGGUAAAGUGCGUUACGUUCGUAACGAAUUAAGGUGGCACCACGGGAGUACCCGUCCUUUCU
rfam:Bacillus anthracis str. 'Ames Ancestor', complete genome.